GCUAAACGAGUUCCUCGCCGGUGGCGGUAAAAACACUCCUCUCGGUUUUCAUUUUCGGUCUCAGGUCUACAAGUUUCUCCACCACUUAUUUCGACACGAUUCUAAUUCUCACUCACCGGUAACUUCUUUCGAGUCCAACUCUGUCUUUCUGGGUAGUGUGUUUCUCUCAUUUUCCAUGUAUAUUUUGACCAAAAACAAAUUUUAUGGCUCGGUUUACCCAUUACUCCUAAUCUACAAGUUUUCAUUCCUAAAGAUCUGAGAGUUUAGUGAUACUAUCCAAUUUCUUCUUCUUCUUCUUCUUCUUCUUCUUCCAUAGAUUAAAGGGCAUCAGUAGUCCAGCAUCAGAUGGCCAGCGAUGCCAAUUUAUCUCGCACUUUCAAGUACUUAAUGGCUACACAGUUCUUAUCAAGAGGAAUUCCAUUUAUUUUCAAUUCAUGGAUCGUCAGGCACCUCACAGCAGAGGACUAUGCGCUUUACGCAGUUCAGUUUCAUCUAUUUGUCACCUGUGUCUUGUUUCUUAGUCGGGAGGGAUUUCGCCGAGCUUGCAUGAGGGCUGAAAUUAAAUGUGACGGUACAUCUACAGAAGAAUAUGCAACAAAGCUAUUAAAAGUAGCUUGGAUGACUCUCCCACUUGGGAUAGUUAUCACAUUUGCUGCAUGCAUUUUUAUAUUUUGGUGGCAAGGACUAAGCCCUUCUGACCCGUAUGCACAAGCAAUCUUGAUUAAUGGCUGUGGUUGUAUACUGGAGCUAUUGGCUGAACCAUUAUAUAUCCUUUCUCAGAAUUUAGCCUUGCUUGAACUGCGUUUGAUGGUUGAAACAGUUGCUACCCUUUUGCGUUGUCUGACUAUGUAUUUCCUUAUCGUUAGACAACCCAGCAUGGAGAAAGGGAUCAUCUUUGCAUGGUCACAAACUGCAUAUGGAGCUUGCUUGUUCGUAGGAUAUUGGAGUUAUUUUCUUCUUUUCCGUGCAUUUAGAAGUUCUGAUCUUCUGCCUUUCAGACUAGGAACUAAAAUAGAUUAUGAUAAGCAACUCUCAAACAUGUGUCUGUUGUUUACUCUUCAAUCCUUCCGGAAGCUAAUUCUUCAAGAAGGGGAAAAGAUGGUCCUUGUGUGGUUGGAUACGCCUUAUAACCAGGCUGUAUAUGGGCUUGUUGACAAAUUAGGAAGCUUAGUAGUGAGGUUGGUCUUCCUGCCAUUUGAGGAAAGUUCAUAUGCUACAUUUGCUAGGUCUGCAUCAGGAGAAUAUCCACUCAAAAGCAGGAAACUUGGAAGCUGCCUCACAGAAGCCCUUAAGCUUGUUUUGUUAAUUGGUCUUGUGUUCAUGGCAUUUGGUCCAAGUUACUCUUACUCUCUAAUCAGAUUAUUGUAUGGCCAUAAAUGGAGUGAUGGCGAGGCAUCAACGGCUCUCCGGUAUUAUUGCCUUUAUAUUAUUCUUUUGGCUAUGAAUGGAACUUCUGAAGCAUUUCUACAUGCUGUUGCAACAGAGAACCAGCUCAAACGUUCGAAUGAUUCAUUGCUUGUAUUCUCACUUAUAUAUGUUGUACUAAAUGUCCUACUGAUUCGGUCAGCUGGUGCAGUUGGUUUGAUUCUGGCAAAUUCGUUGAGUAUGAGUUUGAGGAUUGCAUACUCUGCAAUAUUCAUCAAGCAUUAUUUCAAGGAUUCUUCUGCAUUUACAUUUCGCAGCUGCUUGCCUUCAGGUUGGACAGUUCUGUUGGUUUCAGGUGUAACUACUCUCAUUUCUGAGAAAAUAUUUCUGAACCGCGAAAAUUUCUGGCCAACAUUUUUAGUUCACUUAUCCAUUGGGUUCACUUGCUUUUGCACAUCCUCUGUCAUCAUUUAUCAUCGGGAAAGGCCUUUCAUCAACAAAAUUAUCCAAUUUCGCAAUCACGGGGACUGAAGAACGGCCAACUGCCCCAAGAGAUUUCAGAGAUGGGACUUACUUUUUUUGCAUAUGAAAAGUGCAGUUGCAGUAGAUUCUAUGUUGAGUCUCUUUCCACUCACCACCAUAGCUCCAAACGCCCUAAUUCGUGACCAAGCACAGUGAUAAUAUUAAUCCUUGUCUUCUUUCAGUAAUACUAGCUAUCUCUUGCUUUUUGCAUGAUAAAACUCUAGCUAUCAGGCAUUGAUUACUAGACACUUGGUUACUGUCAAAUAUUCUAUUGAAAAGGUUAACAUGCCUAAUUUCUAUGAUAA